rnacentral:tRNA from 1 species
ACGAUGGUCGUCUAGUGGUUAGGAUGUGUGCUUCACACGCACGAGAUCGCGGGUUCGAUCCCCGCCCGUCGUA